GAUAAAGAAAACCAGUUUCUGGAGAUUUGGAGUAAAAACAUCAAGGUUAAGAGCGUUGACCUGACAGCACUGAAGAAGCACGGCAAAGUUUACGAUGACGAUCAGUUUGGCUG